rnacentral:rRNA from 1 species
UACGUAGGGGGGCUAGCGUUGUCCGGAAUCAUUGGGCGUAAAGGGCGCGUAGGCGGCCACCCGCAAGUCGGUUGUGAAAAUCUCCGGGCUUAACCCGGAAAGGUCAAUCGAUACUGCGGGGCUAGAGUGCAGAAGGGGCAACUGGAAUUCUCGGUGUAGCGGUGGAAUGCGUAGAUAUCUGGAGGAACACCGGUGGCGAAGGCGGCAUCCUGGACCGGCAUUGACGCUGAGGAGCGAAAGCUAGGGGAGCAAACGGG